UCAGAUUGGGCAUCCCUGCCAAAGAACUUAUCGGAUAUGAUUCUGGACAAGUUGGUUUCGUUUCUGAAUAUGUUCGAUUUGGUGCGGUUUGCAAACCAUGGCAGUGUGUGGCAAUGGACAACAAACUUAAAUUCAUUCAAAAUAAGUUUUUUAGACAAGUUCCAUUCUUGAUGGUGCCUUCGAAAGAUAAUAGCAAUGAAAGACGUAGUCUAUAUAGCAUCACUCGUAAUAAGCUAUAUGAUUUUCAGUUAUGGGUGCCUUAUAAAAAGAGGCUUUCUGGUUCCUUACAUGGUUGGUUGUUUACUGUGGAAGAAUCCUUGGGCGUAACUCUAAUGAAUCCGUUUUCUGGUGCUACCAUUGAGCUUCCUCCAAUAAUGGACUACUUAGAAUUCGAACCUCCUCGUCAAAAUGGCGGUGAUAGUGACGGAGAGAUCUUAUACAAGAUUGAUGCAGUUCCUCCUGAGGUUGAAGUUGCAUAGGCUACAUUGAGAUGAAGUUUGGACUUACAUUAGAUAAAAAGAGAUUUCAGGUUUUCAAGUUGCUCGUAGAGCAAUUUGAGCAGGGUUGGCCUAUGUGGGUUGAAGUGAACAACUUGGGUGUAGACAUCCUGUUUUGGGGAAAUAACCAUUCCAUUUGUGUUUCAGCUUCCAAAUGGCCCGAAUGUCAGGCGAAUUCAAUAUUCUACACAGAAGAUUAUAAUAUCAUUGUAUACUAUCCCGCAUCUGGGUGCCGCGACGUUGGUAUCUUCAACAUAGAGAAUGGAAGCUUUGGGACCCAUUACAUACUUGAUCCUUCACAUAACCAUAUGCCACCUUCAAUUUGGAUUGUACAAACUGUUUUAGGAAAAUGAGUAUUAGACUUACUUUGUUUUUGGAUUGUCUUUUGGUCAAAUCUAAUUUAAUUUAGUUUUUUUUUUGCGCU